GUCUAAGGCCAUGCUACCCUGAACAAUCCCAAUCCUGUCUGACCUCAGAAGCUAAGUAGGGUUGGGCUUAGUUACUAGUUAGUACUUGGAUGGGAGACCACCUAGGAAGACCAGAUGCUAUAGGUG
ensembl:rRNA 5S_rRNA 5S ribosomal RNA